rnacentral:lncRNA from 10 species
CAAUUACAUAAUAGGUGUGAAAUCAUUGUGAAGUAUGGCAGUUAUGGGAGAAAUUCAGGAAUAGAAUAUUUCUCUGGUGUUAUGAUGGCUAGAAAAAAGAUGGAUAUAAAUUCAAGUCAACGAGAUAAUUUAUUGAACAUACAAGGAUUUUAAAUGUGCAUUGUCUCAUUCAUACCUCAGGACAACCCUAUGGUAGGUCCCAUUUCUUUUCCCAUUUUACAGACAAGGAAAUUGAAGUUCAGAGAGAUGACGUCACACAGGCAGGUUUUCACCCAAGUCUCUUCCUUUUGGCUUUGAAGGUUUAUGGUCCUUCUUCCCCUGUGGUUGAGCUUAGUCCAUUUUUACAAAACUGUUUGUGAGCUGGAAAUGGAUAUGCAUGGAAGGUCAGAUUCCCCUGAAGGUCCAUUAGGCAGAUUGAGUGAAGGGCUGGAGACUUAGACACCAGUAUAGGCAAUUUCCUAAAACUGGGACAGUAGUUGAGCAUCAGAGUGAAUAUAGGCAUAUGCGUGAGUUCCAAGAGAGAAGGCCUGUGACUCCAGAUGGAGCCCACAGAUGGGUCAGCUCAGUUUUGGGAAUCAUAGUCCUAGAAUAUCAUGGCAGCCUUCAGCUGACACUGCUGUUUCCUUGCUUAAAGGUAUUAGCUCUUCCAGGUCCACUUCUCACCUUGGUAUUUAAAGGCAUUCUACAUGGCUCCUGACAGGAAUCUGGACAAAAGCUGAACAUGGCUUCAGAUUCCUUGGCUUCCUUCCUCUUCCUGGGAGGACAAAAAUUAGCCUACUAAUUUGCAACUGGGCAAGAGAAGAGAGUGACUUCUCUGGGGCCCUGGCACUAAUCAGGGAUCUUUCUAAGAGUAUUGAGGAGCUCAUAAAAUUGCUGGCACUCUGAAGAAGCAGGCUCAGCAAAAUCUCUACCACCCCUACUUCUUUGUGUUCCUCACUCAAAAUUCAAAAGUCCAAGAUUGAGAGAGUGACUGGCUGGGCCACAAUCAUGGUGUCCCUUGAGCUAGGACUUGGUCAUGUGACUGGGCUCAGCUGAUCAGACUCACAAAGGCCUUCCCCAGAUGUAGACUUAAAAGCAGAACCCAGAAAGCAACACACACUUGAAAAGAAUGGAGUUCAGGAUUCCUCGGGACCUUCUCUUGGGGAAGCUGAACUCUUCUGUUAUUACAACACAGACUGGGGUCCUGAUCUUUGGACCUCUGGGACAGGAUGGUGGCUCAGCCCAGAAGGCAUCCACCCCAUCCUCCUCUCUUAGAACAACCUUCCUGUUUCUUUAAGCAUUUGGCUCAAUGUCCACACAUUUCUCGUAAACAAACUCAUUCUCUUCAUUAAACCAAUGUCCCUUUUUCCUUUGUUUCACUUCCCCUACCCCACUGAUCUGUCUCAAGCAGGGUUCAGAUGAAGACAGUAGCAGCUGAGAUGCUCUUCAAACCAAGAGAUAUGGAGAGGUUGGGCCACAUUUCCUGAGCAAGAAAAAUCCAGGAACUAGAGUUUUUAAGUGACAAUAGAACCUUGGCGUGAGGUCAGUGAACCUCACAAUUUUAUGGUUCUCUAGCAUUUAUUUCAAAGAUCGUGGAACAAGUACAAUUCCAUGGUGAAAAGAACAUCGACUCUGCUAUUUAUUAGCUCUGUGACUUUGAACACAUUCUUCGUUUUGAUGAAUCUCAAUUUUCCAAAUGGGAAUAAUAUUGCCUACCACAUAGAGUUAGUGACAAUGUUAAAUAAGAUUAGAUUGGGUGUUUUUCUGGCACAAAAUAAGGUUUUAUCUCUAAAGGACCCUCCCUCCUGCCCAAGUAUUAUUACUGGAACCCUACUUCCACUUUCGCUGGCAUGGAACCAAGAGAGUUCAUGGUUCACGAACUCCCUAUAUUAGAGUCCCAAGGAGUCUUCAAGAGUAUAAGCAUUAAAUCAGACCCUAUAUGUUCAAAUCCUAGCUGAGCCACAUGCUACUUGUGAAACCUUGAACAAAUUACUUAAAUUACCUGUGUCUCAGUUUUCUCCUCUUAAAAUGGCAAUGUUAAAAGUAUCUACCCCUUAGGGUUGUCAUGAAAUUUAAAGUUAAUACACGUAAAGCACUUAGACUUAGCCUGACAUAUAAUAAGCACUCAAGAAACAUUAGGUAACAUUCACUCAACAAAUAUUUAUUGGAUGUCUACUAUGCCAAGGUGCUAUGUUAGGCUUUGGAGUAGCAAAGAUGAAUUAGACACAGGCUAGCUCUUAAGGAGCUCGCAGCCCUAUGGAACAGAGCUAUGAGAUAUUGAGCUAAAAUCACUUCUACUUUUCCUAGAGUUACUAAAGUUUCCUUUGCUUAUUUAAGGCUGCUGAGUUUUCUCUCACCUCCCUACUUCUAUAGGGGAUUGCUUUUUCAAACCUAUAUCUAUAAGCAUCUCUAAGCCAGACCUUUUAAGACGAGGUCUUUUCUUUCUGUUCCUCCUUUUGGAUAUUGAGAAGUGAGUCCCUUGAGGUUAUGUCCUUAGUAAUCUUACAAGUUUCUAAUAACCAAGGACUUCCCCCACAAGAAAAAGAAAAAAAAAUACCCACAGUAUUAAUCAUACUAGUCUAGCAUUUAGUUCCCUAAUAUUUAAUUGCUUAAUUUCUCAAGGUUAUAUUUACUUUUGAUUAAAUUCUUUAAGUUCUAAAUCUAUGCAAAAUAUGUUCCAAGAAUUUUUCAUCUUUUUAUGUUAAUGAAUAGUUAAAUGAACAAAAUUGUUUGCAAUCAAAUAAUCAACACAUCCCCCCACCCUCACCCAAAGUAAUUUCAUGGUUCUUAAGCAUUUAUUUCAAAGAUCAUGGAACAAGUACAUUUCAAACGUAUAGGACUUCACAAGAUUUUCUUAGAGAAAAGUUUUUACAAGCAAAUGAGUACCAAAGACAGCUGUUAUUUUUCAUCUUCAGAACGUGGUGAUUAUCUGGACCAAGGUUUUUGCUGCAUAUUUUACCUGGAAGCUUAGAUAGUGAUAGGCACUCACUCUGUGUGUCAAGUUUCAUUCUCCACUCUGAUGAGAUGGCUGCUCACGUGUCCAGACCUGCAGAGGGUCAUGUGCAUAGGGAAUGGGUGUCAGGUUGAGGAGCAUGGUAACCAGAGGCUCCAGGGCCAAAGAAAUGGGGGUGGGAGGAAACUGAGCACAGAAGAAGAAAGAUGUGAUAGCCAAUAAAGUUCACUUUCCUAGGGAAAUAUUUCUGGGCUGGAAAGAGUAAAACAGAAUUAAAGGGAAAAGAAGGAGAAGGAGAAACAGAAGUUGGGACAAGAGAUGGGAGGGAGGCAAAGGAAAGGGAAAAAUUGAGUGGAGAGAAAGACUGGGAAAGAAAAAAGAAAGGAGAGAGCAAAAAUGAGAACGACAGAGAGGAAGGCAGUUGAUGGAAAAUCUAGAAGGAAGACAGAAUGGAAAGAAAGGAGAAUCUGGAAGCAGAAAGAAGGAAGGAACCCAUGGGCUACCCAGGGCAGGAGAUUCAGGACUCCAGGGUUGAAGAACAAGAUUUUCCACCGACUCACUCUGUGACAUUUAGCAGGUCCCCUUGUCACCACCCAGCCCCUGGCUUAUUAGGUAAAGUGGUUCUGCGUAAGAUACCUACCACAGAGGCUUGGGGAAAUUAAACGAGGAUGUGAACCUAAAGCAUCAAAUACAGUGUCUACUAGGACAGAUUAUCUAUAAGUAAAAUCUUCAUUUGGCUGCUUGGUCUCAAUUUCCCAAUCUAUUAAGUAAAUCUUCUGAUCUCUAGUAGUCAAAAAUAAAACUGGCAAGAUGACAGCAGGAUGGGAACAAAUAUGAGCAAAACACAGACUUUGCCCUUGGAGAGCUCAAAGUCAAAUAGAAAAAAAGUCACCACAUGCUACAGGUGUGUUGAGUUCUAACACAGAAGUCUAUGCUGAACACUACGGGGGUUAGAAAAGGGAGCUUUUAAUGCCACCUGCAGAAGUCAUGGAGAGUUCCCAGAGGAAGUGACAUUUGAACGGAGAGGUGAAGAAUGUUCCAGUCAAGUGAUGACACUCUCUGGAAUUGUUACACUACCAUAAUUAAAGUGCACUGAAUCUUUUUCUAUCUGAUGGGGGGGGAAUAAAAUAAUUUAAAAAAAGAUAUUUUCCAAAUGGAGAAGGGGAGGGAUUGGCUUUUCACCCACAGUAAACGGCAGGCACAAAGCAGAGACAGGAAGAAGCAUGGUGCACACAAUGAAAAAUAAGUUAUAUGGAAGAAGUGUGUCAGCUGGAAUCAGAUCUUGAAGAGUUUUGUGUGCAAGACUGUGAAAUUGCAUUUUAUUUGUGAAGCCAUCAGGACCCACCUAACGACUUUAAAUAGAAGUGCAUUACACUUGGAUUUGGUAUUUAGAAACAACCCUGGGACUGUGUAUUAGAGGCAGCUGAGCCUACAUGCAGGGAGAUCGGCUAUUCUACUCAUCCGGAGAAGACCUGAUAAGGGUCUGAGAGAAAGCAGUCACAACAGGACUGGGAAGACAGAAAGGAUCUAAGUGAAGUAAAAUCAUCAGGUACAUGCACAAAAUCCACACACACAGGAGAAAUCCUAUUUUAAUGGGGGAGGCUAGAGCGUCCUCCUGAAUUUCUGAGAAGCAUGUGAGUGGUAGGUGGUCAUCUGCCCUUAUCUACUGAUCAUCACUACUUCUUCCAGAUGAUUCUUU